rnacentral:rRNA from 1 species
AGAGUUUGAUCCUGGCUCAGGACGAACGCUGGCGGCGCGCCUAACACAUGCAAGUCGAACGAGCGAGAGAGAGCUUGCUUUCUCGAGCGAGUGGCGAACGGGUGAGUAACGCGUGAGGAACCUGCCUCAAAGAGGGGGACAACAGUUGGAAACGACUGCUAAUACCGCAUAAGCCCACGGGUCGGCAUCGACCAGAGGGAAAAGGAGCAAUCCGCUUUGAGAUGGCCUCGCGUCCGAUUAGCUGGUUGGUGAGGUAACGGCCCACCAAGGCGACGAUCGGUAGCCGGACUGAGAGGUUGAACGGCCACAUUGGGACUGAGACACGGCCCAGACUCCUACGGGAGGCAGCAGUGGGGAAUAUUGCACAAUGGGGGAAACCCUGAUGCAGCGACGCCGCGUGGAGGAAGAAGGUCUUCGGAUUGUAAACUCCUGUUGUUGGGGAAGAUAAUGACGGUACCCAACAAGGAAGUGACGGCUAACUACGUGCCAGCAGCCGCGGUAAAACGUAGGUCACAAGCGUUGUCCGGAAUUACUGGGUGUAAAGGGAGCGCAGGCGGGAAGACAAGUUGGAAGUGAAAUCCAUGGGCUCAACCCAUGAACUGCUUUCAAAACUGUUUUUCUUGAGUAGUGCAGAGGUAGGCGGAAUUCCCGGUGUAGCGGUGGAAUGCGUAGAUAUCGGGAGGAACACCAGUGGCGAAGGCGGCCUACUGGGCACCAACUGACGCUGAGGCUCGAAAGUGUGGGUAGCAAACAGGAUUAGAUACCCUGGUAGUCCACACCGUAAACGAUGAUUACUAGGUGUUGGAGGAUUGACCCCUUCAGUGCCGCAGUUAACACAAUAAGUAAUCCACCUGGGGAGUACGACCGCAAGGUUGAAACUCAAAGGAAUUGACGGGGGCCCGCACAAGCAGUGGAGUAUGUGGUUUAAUUCGACGCAACGCGAAGAACCUUACCAAGUCUUGACAUCCGUUGACCGACAUAGAAAUAUGUUUUUCCUUCGGGACAGCGAGACAGGUGGUGCAUGGUUGUCGUCAGCUCGUGUCGUGAGAUGUUGGGUUAAGUCCCGCAACGAGCGCAACCCUUAUGGUCAGUUACUACGCAAGAGGACUCUGGCCAGACUGCCGUUGACAAAACGGAGGAAGGUGGGGAUGACGUCAAAUCAUCAUGCCCUUUAUGACUUGGGCUACACACGUACUACAAUGGCGUUAAACAAAGAGAAGCAAGACCGCGAGGUGGAGCAAAACUCAGAAACAACGUCCCAGUUCGGACUGCAGGCUGCAACUCGCCUGCACGAAGUCGGAAUUGCUAGUAAUCGUGGAUCAGCAUGC